rnacentral:rRNA from 1 species
UAAUACGUAGGAUCCAAGCGUUGUCCGGAUUUAUUGGGUUUAAAGGGUGCGCAGGCGGCCUGAUAAGUCAGUGGUGAAAGCCCGUUGCUUAACAACGGAACUGCCAUUGAUACUGUCGGGCUUGAGUACAGUUGAGGUUGGCGGAAUGUAUCAUGUAGCGGUGAAAUGCUUAGAUAUGAUACAGAACACCGAUUGCGAAGGCAGCUGACUAAGCUGUUACUGACGCUCAGGCACGAAAGCGUGGGGAUCAAACAGGAUUAGAUACCCUGGUAGUCCACGCCGUAAACGUUGAUAACUCGAUGUUGGCGAUAUACAGUCAGCGUCUUAGCGAAAGCGUUAAGUUAUCCACCUGGGGAGUACGCCGGCAACGGUGAAACUCAAAGGAAUUGACGGGGGCCCGCACAAGCGGUGGAGCAUGUGGUUUAAUUCGAUGAUACGCGAGGAACCUUACCUGGGCUUAAAUGGGAUCGGACAGUUGCAGAAAUGCGAUCUCCCUUCGGGG